rnacentral:rRNA from 1 species
UUAAGCAUAUCAAUAAGCGGAGGAAAAGAAACCAACAGGGAUUGUCUUAGUAACGGCGAGUGAAGCGACAAAAGCUCAAAUUUGAAAUCUGGCACCUUCGGUGUCCGAGUUGUAAUUUGAAGAAGGUAACUUUGGAGUUGGCUCUUGUCUAUGUUCCUUGGAACAGGACGUCACAGAGGGUGAGAAUCCCGUGCGAUGAGAUGUCCAACUCUAUGUAAAGUGCUUUCGAAGAGUCGAGUUGUUUGGGAAUGCAGCUCUAAGUGGGUGGUAAAUUCCAUCUAAAGCUAAAUAUUGGCGAGAGACCGAUAGCGAACAAGUACAGUGAUGGAAAGAUGAAAAGAACUUUGAAAAGAGAGUGAAAAAGUACGUGAAAUUGUUGAAAGGGAAGGGUUUGAGAUCAGACUUGGUAUUUUGUAUGUCUUGCUUUCGGGUGGGGCCUCUGCAGUUUACUGGGCCAGCAUCGGUUUGGACGGUAGGAUAAUGACAUUGGAAUGUGGCACUACUUCGGUGGUGUGUUAUAGACUUUGUUGAUACUACCUGUCUAGACCGAGGACUGCGUCUUUGACUAGGAUGCUGGCAUAAUGAUCCUAAACCGCCCGUC